GGAAGGUGCAAGCGUUAAUCGGAAUUACUGGGCGUAAAGCGCGCGUAGGCGGUUAGAUAAGUCGGGUGUGAAAGCCCCGGGCUCAACCUGGGAACUGCAUUCGAUACUGUCUGGCUAGAGUGUGAUAGAGGGAGGCGGAAUUCCGCAUGUAGCGGUGAAAUGCGUAGAGAUGCGGAGGAACACCAAUGGCGAAGGCAGCCUCCUGGAUUAACACUGACGCUGAGGUGCGAAAGCGUGGGGGGAGCAAACAGGAUUAGAUACCCUGGUAGUCCACGCCCGUAAACGAUGUCAACUAGCCGUUGGGAGCAAUUUGGCUCUUGGUGGCGUAGCUAACGCGAUAAGUUGACCGCCUGGGGAGUACGGUCGCAAGAUUA
rnacentral:rRNA from 1 species